rnacentral:rRNA from 1 species
UUCGAGGGGAGCAAGCGUUGUUCGGAAUCACUGGGCGUAAAGCGCGUGUAGGCGGCCCACUAAGUCUGAUGUGAAAGCCCGGGGCUCACCCCCGGAAGUGCAUUGGAAACUGGUGGACUCGAGUCCCGGAGAGGAGAGUGGAAUUCCUGGUGUAGCGGUUAAAUGCGUAGAUAUCAGGAGGAACACCGGUGGCGAAGGCGGCUCUCUGGACGGUGACUGACGCUGAGACGCGAAAGCGUGGGGAGCAAACAGG